rnacentral:rRNA from 1 species
UGGGAAUAUUGGACAAUGGGGGAAACCCUGAUCCAGCCAUGCCGCGUGAAGGAUGAAGGCCCUCGGGUCGUAAACUUCUUUUAGCAGGGAAAAAGGGAAACUUGAUGGUACCUGCAGAAAAAGCACCGGCUAACUCCGUGCCAGCAGCCGCGGUAAUACGGAGGGUGCAAGCGUUGCUCGGAAUUAUUGGGCGUAAAGCGCGUGUAGGCGGCUUUAUAAGUCUGGUGUGAAAUCCCGGAGCUUAACUUCGGAACUGCACUGGAUACUGUAAGGCUAGAGGACGAGAGAGGAUGGUGGAAUUCCUGGUGUAGGGGUGAAAUCCGUAGAUAUCAGGAGGAACAUCAGUGGCGAAGGCGGCCAUCUGGCUCGUACCUGACGCUGAGACGCGAAAGCGUGGGGAGCAAAC